GAUGAACGCUGGCGGCGUGCCUAAUACAUGCAAGUCGAGCGAACGGACGAGAAGCUUGCUUCUCUGAUGUUAGCGGCGGACGGGAGAGUAACACGUGGAUAACCUACCUAUAAGACUGGGAUAACUUCGGGAAACCGGAGCUAAUACCGGAUAAUAUUUUGAACCGCAUGGUUCAAAAGUGAAAGACGGUCUUGCUGUCACUUAUAGAUGGAUCCGCGUUGCAUUAGCUAGUUGGUAAGGUAACGGCUUACCAAGGCAACGAUGCAUAGACGACCUGAGAGGGUGAUCGGCCACACUGGAACUGAGACACGGUCCAGACUCCUACGGGAGGCAGCAGUAGGGAAUCUUCCGCAAUGGGCGAAAGCCUGACGGAGCAACGCCGCGUGAGUGAUGAAGGUCUUCGGAUCGUAAAACUCUGUUAUUAGGGAAGAACAUAUGUGUAAGUAACUGUGCACAUCUUGACGGUACCUAAUCAGAAAGCCACGGCUAACUACGUG
rnacentral:rRNA from 1 species